rnacentral:rRNA from 1 species
UACGAACGCUGGCGGCGUGCUUAACACAUGCAAGUCGAACGGAAAGGCCCUGCUUUUGUGGGGUGCUCGAGUGGCGAACGGGUGAGUAACACGUGAGUAACCUGCCCUUGACUUUGGGAUAACUUCAGGAAACUGGGGCUAAUACCGGAUAGGAGCUCCUGCUGCAUGGUGGGGGUUGGAAAGUUUCGGCGGUUGGGGAUGGACUCGCGGCUUAUCAGCUUGUUGGUGGGGUAGUGGCUUACCAAGGCUUUGACGGGUAGCCGGCCUGAGAGGGUGACCGGCCACAUUGGGACUGAGAUACGGCCCAGACGCCUACGGGAGGCAGCAGUGGGGAAUAUUGCACAAUGGGCGGAAGCCUGAUGCAGCAACGCCGCGUGCGGGAUGACGGCCUUCGGGUUGUAAACCGAUUUCGCCUGUGACGAAGCGUGAGUGACGGUAAUGGGUAAAGAAGCACCGGCUAACUACGUG